rnacentral:rRNA from 1 species
GGGCUCACACAAGCGGUGGAGGAUGUGGCUCAAUUCGAGGCUACGCGAAGAACCUUAUCCUAGUCUUGACAUGCUUUAGAACCCUUCCGAAAGGAAGGGGUGCCCGCAAGGGAGCUUUAGCACAGGUGCUGCAUGGCUGUCGUCAGCUCGUGUCGUGAGAUGUCGGGUUAAGUCCCUUAACGAGCGAAACCCUUGUCCUUAGUUACCAGCGGGUCAUGCCGGGGACUCUAAGGAGACUGCCGGUGUUAAACCGGAGGAAGGUGGGGAUGACGUCAAGUCCUCAUGGCCUUUAUGACUAGGGCUGCACACGUCCUACAAUGGCGCGCACAAAGCGACGCAAACUCGCAAGAGCCAGCAAAUCGCAAAAAUCGCGCCCCAGUUCGGAUUGCAGGCUGCAACCCGCCUGCAUGAAGCCGGAAUCGCUAGUAAUCGCGGGUCAGCAUACCGCGGUGAAUGUGUUCCUGAGCCUU